ensembl:lncRNA
GCCAGAAGCUGCUCCUCGCCUUCAGGAGUAAGGGGACCCCAAGACAGGGGCUGCCCCUAGGAGAGGAUGGGGCCAGGACAAACCAGCCAGUGUGAGGCCAGUGCCCCCAACACCCGCUUGAAGGGCACCUUCAGAGUCUUCCUGGAAUACUGCGAUUCUCAGGCAUUUGGACAUUAAAUGUUAAUGACGUUCACAACAGAAGAGUAAGCUGAAAUUUCAAGGUCGUGACCCAGGAGAGGAUGCCUGACCCAGGAAUGAAAACUGGAAGAGCUUUGAACAUCUAUCAACAUAAUUCUUGACAUGCCCUUGGACCCGGCCUUCUAUUUCCAGGUGUCCAGCUUCCCGAAACACUGCACACCAAAACAUAUAAACCAGGAUCCUUAGGCCAACACCUGCUUGGUCUGUGAUGCUGUCUCUGUGAUGGUGAGGAGGUGGCCCCUGAUUAAAGCAGUGAGGACAUAAGACUGAUUGUCCAUGGGCUGGUCAACAAUUUAGGAGGUGUCAGGCAUGAAGCCUUGCCCAGCUGGCAUCAUAGGCUCACCUCAGGACUGAUACACUUCUUCCCUUUGCUGUGAGGAAGUGGGGGAUCUCAUUUAUCCUCAAAACAACCCUAUGAGGCCUCCUCUGAGGACCGGCUAGCGGCGGGAGAGGCCCCAGGGCGGUCGCACAGGCUGGGAGCAGUCUGGGGGGGCAUAGGCCGGCUGUGCUCAGGCCAGCGCCCAGGCCCCCUGACCUGCCUGUGUCAGGGGCAGGUUGCCUGGAGGGCAGGGCAGGCCCUCUGGAUGCGCUUUGAGGAGCCCCCACCGAGAGCCGCAUGUGGACAAGGCAGAGGCCAGCUCCUGAGGGAUCAGAGUGACGCCGCUGCUGAGCAGGAAGGGCCCAAGGGGAGGAGAGAGACGGAGAUAAAUGAGCCCCUGUGUGUCCGGCCGAGCAUCUUGACUGUGUAAAGGAGAAUCAGCACUUGGCUUGCAGGGAGCCGUGAGGGGUUCUACAUGGUACUUCCUGGCCAGAACUUGGUUUUGCUCAGAUGAGACAAAAAGACACACAAGUCAGAUAUCAAAUAAUGCAAGCCACUGGGUUCAUGAGUGGCCGGUGGUCACCAAAUUGGAUCCUGCAGCUCUGGCCUUUGCCUCCCAAAACCUACAACUGCUCCUGGUGGACCUCCCCGAGAAGGCGUGUGAAGCAAUAGAGCUAGAGGAGACGGGAACUCUGCCUCCAUUUGCUGUGUGACAUCGCGGACCAAGGACUUCCCUAGAAGAGAAGAAAAGAAAUUGAAUAUUCUGGUCUUCACCUUGGGACUCAAAGCCCUGAACAUGCUCAAUUAAAACAAAGAAAAAAAUACCCUGCCUGGGUUUAAGUGGAUCCUCCUGAUGCAUACAUGCUUAGAAGCUGAAGUGUCCAGAAGCUAUUCAGACUGGGAAGCAGUUUGGAAGACGCAUGAUGGCAGCCCCAUUGUGGGACACUGCCAACCCACGGCCAUCUCGCUCAGGAGGGUCCUCCAGUCUGCACACGCUUUCCUGCUCAGCGGGCAAGUCCUUCUGCCUUCCUGUCCGAUUACCUGGCCCGACUACGAGGUCCUGUUCCCUCACCAAGGCCCGUCCAACUCCUGAUCGGCUGAUUACUCCGUGCAGAGCCUUCACCAGCAGGAGACUGCCUUGGCAGCCCGCGCCUGCCCGUGGCCAGCCCAGAUUGGUGGCACCUCCCCGCCCUCACCGGCUGCCGCCAGGGUUUGCUUUGUUUUUGUUUCUGUUGGCUCUGUUUGGAGUCUACAGAUGUGGUCAGACCGGAGAGGAGUAGGGGCGCGGGGGCUGCCAGCAAAGGGGAGAAUAAAAGAGCCAAUCAUUUCUG